UACGUNCCAGCAGCCGCGGUAAUACGUAGGUGGCAAGCGUUGUCCGGAUUUAUUGGGCGUAAAGCGAGCGCAGGCGGUUCCUUAAGUNUGAUGUGAAAGCCCCCGGCUCAACCGGGGAGGGUCAUUGGAAACUGGGGAACUUGAGUGCAGAAGAGGAGAGUGGAAUUNCAUGUGUAGCGGUGAAAUGCGUAGAUAUAUGGAGGAACACCAGUGGCGAAGGCGACUCUCUGGUCUGUAACUGACGCUGAGGCUCGAAAGCGUGGGUAGCAAACAGGAUUAGAUACCCUGGUAGUCCACGCCGUAAACGAUGAGUGCUAAGUGUUGGAGGGUUUCCGCCCUUCAGUGCUGCAGUUAACGCAUUAAGCACUCCGCCUGGGGAGUACGACCGCAAGGUUGGAACUCAAAGGAAUUGACGGGGACCCGCACAAGCGGUGGAGCAUGUGGUUUAAUUCGAAGCAACGCGAAGAACCUUACCAAGUCUUGACGUCCUUUGACCACUCUAGAGAUAGAGCUUUCCCUUCGGGGACAAAGUGACAGGUGGUGCAUGGUUGUCGUCAGCUCGUGUCGUGAGAUGUUGGGUUAAGUCCCGCAACGAGCGCAACCCUUAUUACUAGUUGCCAGCAUUGAGUUGGGCACUCUAGUGAGACUGCCGGUGACAAACCGGAGGAAGGUGGGGAUGACGUCAAAUCAUCAUGCCCCUUAUGGCUUGGGCUACACACGUGCUACAAUGGAUGGUACAACGAGCAGCGAACUCGCGAGGGUAAGCGAAUCUCUUAAAGCCAUUCUCAGUUCGGAUUGUAGGCUGCAACUCGCCUACAUGAAGCCGGAAUCGCUAGUAAUCGCGGAUCAGCACGCCGCGGUGAAUACGUUCCCGGGUCUUGUA
rnacentral:rRNA from 1 species